UUAAAGCUCCUCGCUUACACCGAAGUAAUAUCUGUUCGAAUCAGAUCAUUUUGAGCCCAAAAUCUAGCCUUCAUAAUAUAUGUAUAUUAUAAUCCCACCUUCCGCCCAAUAACAAAACAUUUUAACAUUUUAGUAUAGGAGAUUGAAAAAUUAAUAAGCGCUUCAGAUAAAGUACCGCAAGGGAAAGAUGAAAUAGUAAUGAAAUAAAUUAAAAGCACAAAAAAGCAGAGACUCCCCCUCGUACCUUUUGCAUCAUAGUCUAGCCAGUCUAACCAAGCAAAAAGUACUUUAAGUUUGACACCCCGAAACUAAGCGAGCUACUUCAAAACAGCCCCAAAGAGCCAACCCGUCUCUGUUGCAAAAGAGUGGGAAGAUUUUUAAGUAGAGGUGAUAUGCCUACCGAGCCUAGAGAUAGCUGGUUGCUCAAGAAAAGAGUCUCAGCUCUACCUUAAGUUUUUUUGUUAUAAACAUAAACCCCUUAAACUUAAGAGCUAUUUAAAUAAGGCACAGCUUAUUUAAAACAGGAUACAACCUCCAACACUGGGUAAACCAGGGUAAAUUAAACCAAGUAGGCCUAAAAGCAGCCACCUUUCAAAAAGCGUUACAGCCUAAUUCACCUCUUAACCCACAAUACUUUAAACCCCUCUUAACCCUUAACCCCUAUUGAGCCAUUUUAUAUUUUUAUAAAAAACAUAAUGCUAGAACUAGUAACAAGAAAUAUAACUUUCUCCUAAAUGUGAGUAUAAACCAAAAUGGACAUACCACUGGAAUUUAACGUGUAUUCAAAUAUUAUAACAACUUUUCUAGAAAAACUUAUAAACCCCAACGUUAACCUUACACCAGAACAUUACAGGAAAGAUUAAAAGAGAGAGAAGGAACUCGGCAAAUCUUAACCCCGCCUGUUUACCAAAAACAUCGCCUCUUGACACUUAUAAGAGGUCCAGCCUGCCCAGUGACAAAGUUUAACGGCCGCGGUAUCCUAACCGUGCAAAGGUAGCAUAAUCACUUGUUCUUUAAAUGGGGACUCGUAUCAACGACACCACGAGGGUUAUACUGUCUCCUCCCUCCAAUCAGUGAAACUGAUCCCCCCGUGAAGAAGCGGGGAUUGACUUAUAAGACGAGAAGACCCCAUGGAGCUUUAAGCUACACAUACACUUUACCUGCAUAUCAACUAAAAUUAAAAUUCUGUAUGCUCACUUUAGGUUGGGGAGACCGCGGAGUACAAAUUAACCUCCACAACAAAUAGGCCACGCCCUUAUCUAAGAACUACAAUUCUAAGAAUUAAUAUAUUAAUGUUUAAUGACCCGAAAAUUCGAUCAAUGAACCAAGUUACCCUGGGGAUAACAGCGCAAUCUACUUCAAGAGCCCCUAUCGACAAGUAGGUUUACGACCUCGAUGUUGGAUCAGGGUAUCCUAGUGGUGCAGCCGCUAC
rnacentral:rRNA from 1 species